rnacentral:rRNA from 1 species
AUUGAACGCUGGCGGCAGGCCUAACACAUGCAAGUCGAGCGAGCGGCGGACGGGUGAGUAAUGUAUGGGGACUGCCCGAUAGAGGGGGAUAACACCUGGAAACGGUGGCUAAUACCGCAUACUGUCGGAGAAACCAUAUGGGAUUAGCUAGUGGGUAAGGUAAUGGCUUACCAAGGCGACGCUCCCUAGCUGGUCUGAGAGGAUGAUCAGCCACACUGGGACUGAGACACGGCCCAGACUCCUACGGAGGCAGCAGUGGGGAAUAUUGGACAAGGGGCGAAAGCCUGAUCCAGCCAUGCCGCGUGUAUGAAGAAGGCCUUAGGGUUGUAAAGUACUUUCAGUCGGGAGGCGUUACCGACAGAAGAAGCACCGGCUAACUCCGUGCCAGCAGCCGCGGUAAUUC